rnacentral:miRNA from 1 species
UGGCUCCAGACCAGGCUGUUGUUGUUCUCAACGUGGUCCGCCACGGAGCUAUAAAAGCGGAGCGCAGCGCCCUCCUCGCCAGAGCGCAGCG